AUUAGAUAAAAAACCAAUGCCCUUCGGGGCUUUUCUGGUGAUUCAUAAUAACUAAACGAAUCGCAUGGCCUUGAGCCGGCGAUGGUUCAUUCAAAUUUCUGCCCUAUCAACUUUCGAUUGUAGGAUAGAGGCCUACAAUGGUUUCAACGGGUAACGGAGAAUUAGGGUUCGGUUCCGGAGAGGGAGCCUGAGAACGGCUACCACAUCCAAGGAAGGCAGCAGGCGCGCAAAUUACCCAAUCCCGACACGGGGAGGUAGUGACAAUAAAUACUGAUACAGGGCUCUUUUGGGUCUUGUAAUUGGAAUGAGUACAAUUUAAAUCCCUUAACGAGGAACAAUUGGAGGGCAAGUCUGGUGCCAGCAGCCGCGGUAAUUCCAGCUCCAAUAGCGUAUAUUAAAGUUGUUGCAGUUAAAAAGCUCGUAGUUGAACCUUGGGUCUGGCUGGCCGGUCCGCCUCACCGCGUGCACUGGUCCGGCCGGACCUUUCCUCUUGGGGAUCCGCAUGCCCUUUACUGGG
rnacentral:rRNA from 1 species